CGAGUCUGAUGGAGCACGCCGCGUGAGUGAAGAAGGGUUUCGGCUCGUAAAACUCUGUUGUUAAAGAAGAACAUAUCUGAGAGUAACUGUUCAGGUAUUGACGGUAUUUAACCAGAAAGCCACGGCUAACUACGUGCCAGCAGCCGCGGUAAUACGUAGGUGGCAAGCGUUGUCCGGAUUUAUUGGGCGUAAAGCGAGCGCAGGCGGUUUUUUAAGUCUGAUGUGAAAGCCUUCGGCUCAACCGAAGAAGUGCAUCGGAAACUGGGAAACUUGAGUGCAGAAGAGGACAGUGGAACUCCAUGUGUAGCGGUGAAAUGCGUAGAUAUAUGGAAGAACACCAGUGGCGAAGGCGGCUGUCUGGUCUGUAACUGACGCUGAGGCUCGAAAGUAUGGGUAGCAAACAGGAUUAGAUACCCUGGUAGUCCAUACCGUAAACGAUGAAUGCUAAGUGUUGGAGGGUUUCCGCCCUUCAGUGCUGCAGCUAACGCAUUAAGCAUUCCGCCUGGGGAGUACGGCCGCAAGGCUGAAACUCAAAGGAAUUGACGGGGGCCCGCACAAGCGGUGGAGCAUGUGGUUUAAUUCGAAGCUACGCGAAGAACCUUACCAGGUCUUGACAUACUAUGCAAAUCUAAGAGAUUAGACGUUCCCUUCGGGGACAUGGAUACAGGUGGUGCAUGGUUGUCGUCAGCUCGUGUCGUGAGAUGUUGGGUUAAGUCCCGCAACGAGCGCAACCCUUAUUAUCAGUUGCCAGCAUUAAGUUGGGCACUCUGGUGAGACUGCCGGUGACAAACCGGAGGAAGGUGGGGAUGACGUCAAAUCAUCAUGCCCCUUAUGACCUGGGCUACACACGUGCUACAAUGGAUGGUACAACGAGUUGCGAACUCGCGAGAGU
rnacentral:rRNA from 2 species